GACGAACGCUGGCGGCGUGCUUAACACAUGCAAGUCGAACGAUGAAGCCGGAGCUUGCUCUGGUGAAUUAGUGGCGAACGGGUGAGUAACACGUGAGUAACCUGCCCUUGACUCUGGGAUAACUGCGGGAAACUGUAGCUAAUACCGGAUACGACCCUCGGAGGCAUCUCCAGGGGGUGGAAAGAAUUUCGGUCAAGGAUGGACUCGCGGCCUAUCAGCUAGUUGGUGAGGUAAUGGCUCACCAAGGCGACGACGGGUAGCCGGCCUGUGAGGGUGACCGGCCACACUGGGACUGAGACACGGCCCAGACUCCUACGGGAGGCAGCAGUGGGGAAUAUUGCACAAUGGGCGCAAGCCUGAUGCAGCAACGCCGCGUGAGGGAUGACGGCCUUCGGGUUGUAAACCUCUUUUAGUAGGGAAGAAGCGAAAGUGACGGUACCUGCAGAAAAAGCACCGGCUAACUACGUGCCAGCCGCCGCCGUAA
rnacentral:rRNA from 1 species